CGCAUAUACUGGAUAGAAGAAGAUCAUGUCAAGAGAUGUAAGUUCUUUAUAUCACUGAAAGCAUGUAGGGCUACAGGGGUAACAAGUAUAAGAAAAUAGAAACCGUCCGGGUAACAAGGAAAUGUCAAUGUCUUUACUCCAAGUACAGUUACUAGGAUAUGAUUUCUUCUAACAGGAAUAUGCUCGAUAACAAGGGAUGUAAGUAGACAGUAAGAUAUUAGACAGAAAUGUUCUUACUUGAAGUAAGGAUAUUAUAUUUGUACAAGGAACACAUACUCGAGUCUUCUCGGUAAGGUCAAGAGAACCAUGUUUAAAAAGUUAAUGAAAAAGAUGUCUUUACAACAAAUUGAGAAGCCAUUGCAACUUUAAGCCAUAUCAUUGUGAUCAAGAACGAGUUAUCAAAAAUCCUACGUUAUUUGCAGCUGAAUAAAUAUUGGAAAUGGUUGUCAGACGGAUAAUAAUCUUCAUAAGGGUCUCACUGAAAAACCAGAAACGGAGAAAUGACAUCCAAGAGGGAAUCUACAGUUGAUAAUGAUCCUAUUUUGAGGACUUUCACUGUGGAGGAAAUUAAGUUCAGCCGACGAGUAAUUGAACCCAUUCUCAGUGGCAGGUCCCGAUGGAAUUACAGUUCGAGAAAUCAAGUCCAUGGACCCUAUUAUCCUCACUAACCUGUGCAACUGUUUGUUGCUGGCCGGCAAAGUUCAGGUUCUCGGCCGGAGGAACCGACCCGUUGCUAGAGAUUCUGCUCAGGGACUGCGGUUUGACGGAGUUGAUUUGGUGGGCCUUGCGUAUGGUGCUAGUCUCUGGCUCGCGGGGGGGGAGGGGUUGCAGGGAGUUUAUAGGUGCUUAGAGUUCUACCGCAGGGUGGGACUGGCUAUCAAUAUUUCUAAAUGAUCCUGGUUCUCCAUAAGAGGCUGUGGUAUAUCUUUCUUGGUCAACACAGACGUACUACGGAUGAUUGACGGGGCUCCAGUCAAGAGUGUCGAACAGGAUGAGAAAAAUGUUCUACUCAGGGAUCCAAAUCAACCCAUGGAGUUCGGUUUCGACUUGGGACGAGGAAACUUCACUGGAAUGUGUCACGGUCUAUUAAAGAUAUGCCGUGCUCCUUUGAAACCCAGACAAAAAUUCCUCCUCCUCCAGCACUAUUACUUGCCUUGACUGUUUUAACUGAGUGGAACUUGGGGCUACUUAAGAUGCGCUCCAAUACGUUUCCCAGUAGGAGUGUCUUACGCGUGAGGGCAGAGGCUCCAUGGCCUGUAGGAACGGGGCCGGACUCUCAUAUCAGUGGCCUGCGCCCGGGUUUAAAAAGCUCGAGAACUGUGCCAGCUGGUAGCGAAGGAAGUGGAGAAGUAUGACAGGGAGAUCGGCUGGGAACCGGCCUACUGAACAUCUGAAACUAGGCUUAUUCCCGACCUGGCACUACGGAGUUCUGAUAAAACAGUUGUCGACGUAACUGUACGUUACGAGUAGGGGACGUCUCUGAAAGACGCAGCCAACGAAACGGUGCGUAAAUACCGACCGCUUAUCUCACUGAGAACGAGAGCUAUGUCGGCUUGUAGAAACAUACGGAUUCCCCGUGCGAGCUUGCGGUGCAUGGUGCCAACCCACAGAGAAGACACUACUGGCCGUUGGGAUCCGUGACAAAGCUUUUAGGUGGCUACUGAGCAGAACCGCUAUGAUCUAUGCAUACAAUGAGGGACUGAGCCAUCCGAGGGCCUGUCCAGAUCGUCACUGGCAGAUUCUUGUUUUGAGCUCUCGUCCCCUGCGCUCCCAUCGCAGGGUUGAGGCAGGGCGCAGAAUGGAUCUCUCCAGUAUGGAUCUAGUCACAUGGCACAGGCCACGGUAAAAACCGGUAACGGCUCCGCCACUCCAGUGUGUGAUUCAACCUCGGCUGGGACCGGCUGAAUAUACUCGAAAUGGAUAGUGUACUUUCGUGAAUGUCACUAUGACGAGUGCAUUGUGGGACUGUCCACGUUAAAAGCAGGGAAAGGUACAGUAAAUGCAUUGUGUAACAGCCAAAUGCUUCGUCAUUUAAUAAGUGACGCGCAUGGAACGGGCAUUAAUGGAGAAUCGCUACGAUUUUGUAAAGAAGUAGAGAGAGGGGGAAAAUGAAAAGGAUUUCGGCCCCGUAAGUUUGCUAAACGCAGAUUUCAAGAUUUGAGAAAACUUUCGGCAAGAAGUUGGUGUUUUGAUUGAUGAAGAGCAAACAUGCACUAUACCGAACAGACAGACUAAGUCUCCAGUUCGUAACGAAUCACCGAUAGAAUGAGCAGAUCGUUAAUCAGCUUUAAACAAUCAAAAGCUUUCGAUAAGCUUGAAAAAUAUUUGGUGCUGCUGUUGGUAUGGCAACCUUUUAAAGUUCUGUUUUUAGGGGCAAUUAAUGUGAUUGGCCACCUAUCAGAAGUAGGUUCUUCCAUUAUGUUACUGCCCACUAUCAGGGAUUUUGUUAAAAAUCUUUGUUUAUACUGUAGUUAGCAGUGACGGCAACAGAAAAAUUACGAAGCUGGGAGAAGUCACUAAAACCUGAGUCCAUAUCAAGCCAUUUUCGUAGAUCAAUGUGAUCUACAAAAAGAAAAAAGAAAAUAUUUAGAAAUUACCCAGAAAAGAACUUAUUUAUAGCUGAAAAGACUAUCGAAAGGAACCAUAAUUCACCAAAAUGGAUCGAUGGAGAAAAAAUCCCCGAGGCGGUAAAAUGACGAAUAAACAUCGAAGUGUUUACCUAAAUCUAUGCCGAUCACUGGUAAAAUAUUGGCCUACAUUUCAGGCAGACUUGUUUGGAAGGGAUCCGCUUACUGGAAGACAGUCGAAAGUGUUACUUCAUUCUAAGUUUCUUUCCCUCCGUUACUUAACCCGUCUAUAACGAUUUCACGUGGUUUGAAGGAAAGGUGAAGAGCGAACGAAGAGGAAAAGUGGGUAAGGCGAAGAGCGAAAGAGUGCUGUAUCUAUGAAACUGGAGCAUAAAUUAUAUAAAGCAUUAAGUAAUCAUCGUAUUUCAACUUCCUUCACUUUUCGAUGAGUAGCAGAUGAGCGACCAUCUUUUGAUACAGAUACAACAAAGCUACGCUUUCAGGUUUGGAUAAAGUUUUCUGAAAUAACCCAAUAAAUUUAGCAUUAAUCCUGUGAAAUAUUCACGGGUCCCAGUACUGAAUAUCCGAAGUCACCAUCAAGUUAAGUAACAAGGGCAACAAGGAUAAGAAAGCAAGAUCCAUCCUAAGAAAAUUGUAUAAAAAUGUCAACUUCAAGCAAGGAAGUUGGGAUAACACACACGACUCUUGGUAAUAAAGUGACAACGAUGAGGAAAGGAGAACUGUCUCCUUUAAAAAGGAAAGGAUGAAAUAAAAGUGUCUUUAUAUCAAGCUUGGAUAAGUCAAAGAAGAAAAAAAAACAAUGUAAUCUGCGAAAAGCAUUCAAGAAUGAUUUAACAAAAAACUACUUUAGAUGUAGCUGAACAACUAUUGGGAAGGGCGACCAGACGGACAAUUUACAUGACAGUCUCACAGUAAGAAAUAAAAAAAAAGUGAAUCGGAGAAAUGACCAAUAAAUACCCGAGAGGAAAGGUACUUGCCUGAAAUAUGGGUAGAUAUUUCAUCCGUGAUCGACAUAGAUUCAGAUAAAUUUCUUUGGUAGCGAUCAGGUUACCAGAUCCCUGCUCGGAUUCGACUGAUUUGCUUAAAGUGUCCAGGUGGAGAUCAUGCAGAAAAGACAAAUAGAGAGGCCAGUCUCACAGAGAUAGAUUGAGAGAAAUCCGUGCUUGACAGGUUGGUCAGAGGCGGUGAACGCCUACCAGGUCAUUGUCGUCCAAUACCGCCUGACCAGCUUUCCUUGCCGCAUUUCAUAUCUGAAAACUUAGCCGGUUUCGCCUUCAAUUUAAGCAAUCUCUUCUUUGUCGAUCUGUGUCUUCAGUUGAUUUCAUCCUUCGGAGGUUAUUUGUUAUACCGAUUUCAUAUUCGAGUUUUAAGCUUUGUUUACUCCUUUAGACACAAGAUUGAUAAAACUUAAAAUAAGGCAGUGUAUCACAAUUGUAGAACUGUCACCACCACUGCAACCGUGAUUAGCAGAGACAGCAAUAAGUGAAUUAGCAAAAUAAGCUACUACUAGUAAGGAUGCUUCAAUCAUCGAUGACACCGCCCAAAAGUGAAGUCAUUCCCAAAAUGAGUAACAAAUUGCUAUCUUUAUCAAAUCAUUCCAAUGUUUUACAUAUAACAAAACAUUCAAAAAGGUUUCAGAAACGACCCAUUUUCUCCUUUAUAUCACAGAAAACCAGUCAUUUAACAAAGCUAACGAUGAUGAUUAAAAGAGAAUCGUAUCGUUUAAAAGCUGUCCAACAAAUGAGCCUUUACACCAGUAUGAGAGAAGUCACUUAAAAACCAUACCAAUGUGAUCUGCGAAAGAAACAACAUUCAAUGAUUCAACUACCUUAUUUCACAAUGAAAUCUCUCACUGCCACUACAACUGUAUUUAGCAGUAACAGCCACAGGAAGACAAAAGCAUAAUCUACUACUGACACCACCUUGAUCGAUGCCACUGCCCAAAACACCAAACGUGAAAUCCUUCCCAAAAUGAAGCCAAAUUAACUGUUUCUAAACCUCAACCCCACCAAACACUUUCGACGAAGGAAUAUCUUUAAAAUAGUUGGCGGCCUUCUAGAGAGCGUUGAAUAAAAUUGAUGAAAAGGUUCGAUUAACUGCAUACUUCAUUAAAUGAAGAAUAUACGAAGCCAAAUUAACUGUUUCUAAACCUGAAUCCCACCAAACCCUUUCGACGAAGGAAUACUAUCAAAAUGGUUGGUGGCCUUCUAGAGCGUGGAAAAAUAAUAGAUGAAAAGGUUCAAUAAACUACAUCUUUCAUUAAAUGAAGAGUAUACGAAGCCAAAUUAACUGUUUCUAAACCUCAAACCUGCCAAACCCGUUCGACGAAGGAAUACCAUCAAAAUGGUUGGCGGCCUUCUAGAGAGCGUGGAAAAAAAUUGAUGAAAAGGUUCAAUACACUGCAUGCUUCAUUAAAUGAUAAAUAUAUGAAGCCAAAUUAACUGUUUCUAAACCUCAACCCCACCAAACACUUUCGACGAAGGAAUGACUUUAAAAUGGAUGGUGGCCUUCAAGAGUGUGUGGAAUAAAAUUCAUGAUAAGGUUCAAUAAACUGCAUCCUUCAUUAAAUGAUGAGUAUACCAAGACCGCUUAUCUAUUUCUGAAACCUCAAACCCACCAAACCCUUUCGACGAAGGAAUAUCUUUAAGAUGGUUGGCGGCAUUCUAGAGAGCGAGGAAAAAAAUUGAUGAAAAGUUUCAAUACACUGCAUCCUUCAUUAAAUGAUGAGUAUACGAAGACAAAUUAACUGCUUCUAAACCUCAAACCCACCAAACCCUUUCGACGACAGAAUACCUUUAAGAUGGUCGGUGGACUUCUCGAGAGCGAGGACAAAAACUGAUGAAAAGGUUCAAUAAACUGCAUCCUUCAUUAAAUGAAGAGUAUACGAAGCCAAAUUAACUGUUUCUAAACCUCAAACCUGCCAAACCCUUUCGACGAAGGAAUACCAUCAAAAUGGUUGGUGGCCUUCUAGAGAGCGCGGAAUAAAAUUGAUGAAAAGGUUCAAUAAACUGCAUCCUUUAAUAAAUUAAGAGUAUACGAAGCCAAAUUAACUCUUUCUAAACCUGAAUCCCACAAAAUCCUUUCGACGAAUGAAAAUUUUUCGAGGAAAUUGGUGCAACUUAUUAAAUCUGAAAAAGCAAAAACCGCUACAUAACAUUUCCGUAAUCAGUUACAAAUAGACAAAAAAACACCAUAAACAAAGCAAGAGUUAUACCACCAGAGAGGCACACACAAAACUCUCACUGCAAACUGUGCUGAUAAGUGCAACAGGAAACUAAUGCCCUUCAUUGCAGAGUAUCAGGGAUCCCCAAAUGUAUAAAUAAGCGAUUUUCUUUUAUAUUUCAUCUUUCCACCGACAUGGUGGCUCUGAACGACUCUGGUGUUUCUGAGUCUCCUUGACCCCGAGAGCUGGACAGGACAAAAGCCAGAGUAAUAUGGUUAAACACUUCCCAGAAGAAAAAAUAGGUUUUUAUGGGGGACAACACCCCUACUUCGAAAAAAGUGAUAGCAUCGAUGAUAGUUCGAAAAACGAUUAGACCUAGGCGAUGAAGGUCUUCCUGCGUGGAAUGUCCAAUGCGGGGUAGCAAAAUCAGAAUAAAAAUCUGCAAGAGAGACGAGGUAAAAAACAACUUCCAUACCUCGAUCAACGCAGUCUCCCGUCUUACAAUUGCACGCUUGACAAGAGGACUUCAGUGAGGAGAAUCGCACUCAGUAUAUAUGUGUUAACCAUUCCUUACUGUUGUGGUCUACUUCAGCUAAAGGCAUAAUUUGACUUGUAAGAAAUAAACCAAAUCUUCCUGAAAACAUUUUACUGUAUUGAAAAGUGAAGGUCACAUUGGGUAAUAGAUCUCGAUUAUCAUUGCAACAACAAGUUUAUAAAUGCCAUUUUUAGUGAAAUAGGUUGGUAAACUUUUAUUUUUCUGGUGGGGCAGAGGACAAAAUGCUUAGUUGCAUUUCAUCUGUCCUCAUGUUCUGAUAAUAGAGUAACAUAAUGAUGAGUAUACGAAGCCAAAUUAACUGUUUCUAAACCUCAACCCUACCAAACACUUUCGACGAAGGAAUGACUUUAAAAUGGAUGGUGGCCUUCUAGAGAGCGUUGAAUAAAAUUCAUAAGGUUCAAUAAACUGCAUCCUUCAUUAAAUGAUGAGUAUACCAAGACCACUUAUCUUCAUGUUCUGUGAUGGUGCGGAGUGGUCAUUGCUGAAACGCCCUCAUUCAAUCCCAAAAUCAGUUCAGAUAGAGCUUAUUUACAGCAGUAAUAGAGUAACAUAAGUAAACCCAAUGGGAGACUCCAUUGUGUUGUCACUGAGGACAGUUACAAAAAUCAAGGACAGGCCACAAUACGAAUCAUAAAUUGGGUUGUCUGUUGCCAGUUUUGAUUAAAAUAAUCCUCAAAUAUGUAACAAACCGUCAAUGUGCAUUUGUAUAUAUAAAAGGCAGGAUGUGCAUGUGGGUACGUGAAUGCAAUUUAUGCACGUCCACAAAUUAGCACCCAUGUCGCUCCAAUUUUAGGACAUUCGUCAUGACCCUAGUUUUAUUUUCAACUUAUUUUCACCAGAGACAGUAAAUAGAAUAGCAGUAAAAAUACAUUUUCAACCAAAACUUUUAACAAUUUUCAAGUCGGAGAAAUCACCGUCGUUUAGAAAAAAGGAGUUAAGUCACCUUCUAGUUACGAGUAAGUUUUUGUUAAGACUUGCUUUUUUUUUUCCAUUGAGGAAAGAAACGUUUUGCUGAUAUACGAGGAAAACACCCACACACACACACAAACAUGUAUGCGUACAAAAACAUUAUACAAUAGGUGUAGGUACAAACGCGUGCGUGUCCCAUACAUAAACCAAUUUCAACGGAUUUCGCCCAAAUUUGACGCCGAUGUUAGUUUUAUUUGAAAUAAAGAACUUGAUUAGUUUAACAAUCCUAACACAAUCCCAGGAAAAGCCGGGUUAUACUGCUAGUAUUUAGUGUAUAUAUGUUGCUUAUAUAUUUAUGGAUUACGAAACAACUGUCAACCAAUGGCAUAAUCAUCUAUUUUAUGUAUAUGAAUGCGUUCAACACACACACACACACACACACACACACACACAUAUAUAUAUGUGUAUAUAUAUAUAUAUAUAUUUAAAACAUAUGCACAUUGAGAAAAUAUGCAUUAUUGAAGUUAUGGUAACAAGGUUUCAAAUCUGGAAAUAAGUGUAUAGGACGAAUAAAAAAAUAUUAAGUUACGAUUCUCUUGAAAAUAAUUUACCCAAGAAAGUUAAAAAAAAAAAAACAAAAUCAAAGAAAAAUUUGAAGGAAAUUUUUCUUCGGUUAAUAUUAUUUAGGCGCUUCCCCUACCAGCACAUAAAAUGUGCUAUAACAGAGCAUAUAUAUCGAUUAAAUCGAAAAGAUUCUCACGAACUGAAAGCAACCUAAGGGCAGAGGUCCCCGUUUCCCUUUUUGGCCCACAUGGAUUGAUCUAAGGGAGACAGCCCGUCCCCGCCGAUCAGUAUUGUUUUUUUACUUGACCAUAACGAAUUUCUACCUCCGAGAUUUGAACUCUAUGGCCUUAGGCUUUAGAGUCUGACAAUUUAAGACAAAGCCCUUUAUGGAUGCUAAGCCAUUGGUUACUAUGACUGGACAUAUUACAUCUAAAUAUAUAUACAUAUAUAUAUAUAUAUAUAUACUUACAUAUAGCUCUAGAGAUGGUCAUCUUUCACCAAUUAAACACGUAGUAUAUAUUUGAUCUUCACUUUCGCUUUAUUUUUAGUUUGUCAGAGUUCUUUGGUCAUACGUUUUGUGAUCUAACUAUUGUCCCACGUGACUCCUUUUGUUCCGCCUAUCCCAUUUCCCCAAGUAAUGAGUGUUUAAUUAGCAAAAGAGGACCAUCUUCAAGUAUAACAAUGUUUCAAUAAACCAUUUCACAUCAGGAAUCUCAAAAAACAAAUACGAGAGAGAGAGAGGAGGGGAGAGGGAGAGAGUUAUUUUAUAAAGGGUGAACUACAUUUUUCUUCCAACUGACACAGCAUAAAGUGAACAAUGUCUAGGAACAUAAAAGUGAAAAAGGAUUGAAUUAUUUGGAUCAAAUCCAAGAUGUAGCGUAAGUUUUCACUGAAGACUAAUUUCAUUUUGGUCCUACGACCUCAAUGGAAAGCAAAUAGGCAUUUGGCUGGUGUCUCCCAUCUUGCUUGAUCGAGUUCAGAAACGAGUUGUUUACAUGGAGUUUUUAGUUCAUCGUCGAAAAGCAAUUUCGUCGUGUCUUUUGUGCAAGUAUUUUCAUGGAUUUUGCUCCGAGGAACUUUCUGGUUUGGUACUGUCAAAACUUAAAUGUGUCACUUCCUUUGGAUUAUAUUACUGACAAUCUUCUCUGGAUUAUAAGACUGACUUAAAUGUAUAAGUAAAUUAUUCCAACAGGAAUUGAAACCACGACCGCUUAGGAUCCAAGCUUGAAACAACUGCUGAGCGGAAUAAGAAUAUUUUACCACAACCGAACAUCAUUAUCGUCUGGUUUGGUCUUUUAGGCCAGUUGAAGAAAUUUCACAUUUGCAUAGUAACAGUUUAGAAUAACUGGACAGAGUGACAGUUUUUACAGAUGUUACUUCAUUAAAUAUCGCUGUCAGAACAGCAGUUUGAAACGGUAUCUUAGUCAGCUUAGAACACGCUUUGUUAAAUAAUAGUUUGAAAAGUUGCGUAAUUGAAAUUUUGAAUAAAUUCAGUGACAAAUAUUAAAAGACAAUUCGUCAAAGUUAAUUCCAUUAACAGGCAUCACGUGUUGUAUUUUUGACGUCCUACAUGAGUAGGAAGCAACGCGUGAUUUUCUACAUUAACUUUGUGUAUAUUGCUCGAAUUAGUUUAAGCUUAUAUAGAGCGUGUUCAUUAAAAGAACUUCAGUUUCCAUCUAACGAGGAAGACUAGAUGGUUACUCGCAUCUGAGAGAAGCAGAGCAAAAUUACAAAUAAAACACUGCUUAAAAGAUGUGAAGACGGGAUGGUCAAGGUGGUCGGAACGCCCCUGAUUAUAGGUCUACUCAACGAUGACCAGAGGCUCAAUAUUUGUUCUCAAGGUAUUUUGCAAUAGACAAAGAGCUUGCAGAAAUUCUUUUGCUACACAGAUGAACAGGUUUCGUUGGAAAUUGAACUCCGUUCUCUUCGGAAUAGAAUUCUGAGACGGUUGUAAUGCAAAACGUAACCGAGAGAAGAAAAUGUAUCACGGCAAGGAAGGAUUAGGAAAAAAAAUUGUAAUCACUAACUGUUCAGUCAGUCAUGAUUUUAAGAUUGUUAAAAAGAAAAAAAAAGCUUAGCAACUUCACAUCUUUUGAAUUGUGAACCCCGUUUUUCUUUUUAACGUUCUAACAGUACUACAUAUUCCCGAAGUCUUGUGAGGGACAAGAAAAACAAAACCUAAGGAAGAAACAGACCCAAGAAUAUUACAUGUUAAUUUAGGAAUUUAACACAGUCAGGAUGAAGAGGGAUAAAAUUGUCGAAAUACUGGUCUCCCGUCCUGUUAGCAAUCGGUCGUAACUGGACUGAAACAACACAUCUAAUAACAGCAAAUCACAGUAAUAUUAAUUUAGGAAAUUGAACAGAAAUACGGUUUUCUCACAAAUGUAACAUUUUCAUAAAAAAUUAAACAAAAAUGUGAAUUGUUAAUUUCGAGCAAUAAGCUUUUUUUGUGAAAAAAAAAAUCUGUUCUUUAAAAAAAAUACAAAUAUCCAACUCGGUCCGAGUCAACCUUCUUCCAUUCAAAUAUAUUCUGUCUGGUAUGAGUUCAAAUUGAAACUGAAAAUAUUCACUGUUUUUCUCCAUUAAAAUAGUAAAUCCAAGUCAACGAAAGAAAACGGUAGCCAUUUUGUUUUGGUUAUUGUCUACAAAAUCCAGGUUUCUGAGUUGAAAUAACGAACACCCCACCUCAACAGAAACGGAAAGAUUUCAAGUUUUUUUUUCUUUUUAAGAUAAUAGGGUGUGAUUUGAGAGAUAUUUGAUCGUUAUUUCUAGCUGGUCGGACGUCCACUUGAUGGUUCAUUCGUCGACCAAUGUGAAGGAGUAUCUCAGUGGAGCAGGUAGACUUAUCACCAAUUGUAGGUCUCAGUGCUGUGCUUUCUCCGAUUGAAUAAGUUCACCAUUCCUUGAAUUCAUAAAAAAAAUAAAGGGAGCAUGUGCCUUCAUCUCGUCGAAAGGAAGUAAAGUAAAUAUAUUUUUCUGGCCGAGGUACUUGUCUAUCUUGCAAUACGUGUUAGGCGCUGCUCGGUUGUUUUAACUAUUGAUUUCUUUAUUACCCACAAGGGGCGAACAUAGAAUAUACAGAACAUUGGGAACAUAAAACAUCACAAUUACGUGUAUGAAAAAAUGAAAAUGAUAGAUGAAAGCGAUACUAACGGCCUCAUCCGCUAGCAUCACUUACCUGUCCGAAAUACAAUACACAUUAUUCUCUAUUUUCUUCUCAAAUCUCUUUUCCAAUUCCGUAAUUGUCUCUUUUUUCCCCCCAUUUAAUUCUAAACAUUCAUCCGCGAUUAAAGCGCACGUAUCGCUGUCCCUGUCACACCAUUGAUAGUCUUUCAACAUCUCUUUUGCGUCUUUUCUCCUCGUAACAAAUAGAAAAUUGGGCUGGGGUUCUUUUUCGGUAUUUUGUCUGUUUUUUUUUUUUUUUGUUUUCUUGUUGGUGGGGAGCGGGUGAGUUCACUGUCUGCAGGGGAAGGGUCUCAAUGGGAGUGGGUGGUGUUGGGGUGGUUUGGGGUUCACCACUAUUAAUUUUUCCCCUUCUCUUUCUCCUUUUGUCUUCUUCCCAUUCUUUAUGUACCUCCUCUUCCGUUGCUAAUUUCUCUUCUUCCUCCUCGUUGGCCUCUACCUCUUUUUGAGGUUCUGCAUCAAUUUCUUUUGAUGGGGGGAGGGGGCAGUUAGCUCUUAUAUGACCUUUCAGUCCACACUUGUAACAGCGUGGUGCUCUGCCCUCCACCCACGGUACCGAAAUUUAUUCCUCUUGCCACGAACACUAGGUCUUCCUCCGUUCUUUUUAAAGCGUCUUCUAUUGUUUCCAUUUCGACGACUUCUAUCUUCUUUGUUCCGUUGGCAUAAACCCUGUAUGUAAUUGUCCUUCUUUCAUGCCACUCUUUUCGUUUUUGUGGCGGUGUCAACUCCACUUCCCCACCGACCUUUUUGAUAAAUUCCUUAUAAGUUGGCAAUUUGGCCAAAUCUAUCUCUCUUUCCUCCUUUCUUGUCGCUCCCACGUAUGUCUUGCUUAAUUUCUUAUCCAUCUUCUUUAUCGCGUUCUCCAGUUCCUCUUCCGAAGUCGAUAAUUCCGACACACUAUCAUACACAUGUGUUCUGGCCAUCUCUCCUUUAGGGAGGGGCAGCCCACUUCUUCCUUGUCUGUCUCAAUACAGACAGACAAAAGCCAAAAACCGUGCAACAAAACGUUUAACAAAGAUUAACACUCAAUGAAUUCAAAAAUAACGUCCGACUCCGACAGAAUAAUAUCUUAGGCGCUACUCGGUUGUUUUAACUACUAUAAAAAAAAUGACCGUCCCUUUAAUAAGCACGAUCCACAAUGUACGAGAGGAUGAUUCUAUAAUGUGAAUCACAGGGUAAAACAGCUCGUCGCUUUGAUUAUCAAUGACAUUGCAUAAUCAGCCAGUGUUUGGUUACCGUGUGGUGCCGAGUUCGAAAUAGCUCUAAGUAGAACAGUUCGGAAUUUUAAUAGAAAGGAGUUUUUUGUUGUUUUAUAAAGCCGGGGCAGCCAUAAUCUAUGAAACUUAUAAUAAAACGUCAGUCUAGAAAUGACCAUCCCGUCUUUGUAGGUAUAUCUCGGACUAUAUUAUCUAUAUUGCUUCUCCCUUUCCCAAAGCAGUAGGACCUGGUUCGACGGGGAUAUGGCUGCUACAUCAAGCACACCGAGCGACCACGUGUAGGUUUUACCGUUGACUAUGCUGCAAAUAGGCGGGGGUAAGAUUUUAAGUUGCAUCCGGUAGUAGGGCUUUGGUUCGGAGGUGGCUGAGUUUUUGAGGAGUGUGGAACCGCUUCGUAGUCACUUUUAUGGCCAGACCUACUCUGACCCAGAGUAGCAGCACGUAUCGAGGCCCCAGCUAUAGGUUAAUUAACCUGAUACGGAAGAAACAACAAGCAUUGUCUCGAGUGCCUUGGGAAAGGUAAAGGCCAGGAGAACCCAUUUCAACAGCAGAUUAAAGAGUGGAGUCCCUAAGGUGAACCAGUGACCCUUUUGACAUCCUAUCGGCAUGUCCAGGGCAAUUUACCUAGAGGACCAUUCUAAUAUAAAACCUACAGCUUACUGGUCACUUGCAGAGCGGAAACUGUAUAGAGCCCCAUCGAGUGUAUUGUAACCGUAUUUCAAAUAGUGCGAUCUUUUCAGACAUUUGUGUCAUGCUGACUUUGCUUGAGUGUUACGUUAAGGGUACACAUACUGCGGAAUACUCAGCUACUUACUCACAAUGAAAAGAUAAUUCAAUUGAGGAAAUUACUGAGAAAUUAUCCUCGAAAGCGACGGAUAAUCAAGCAAUACAUACACACACACACUCGCACACACACACGCACACAUACACACACACACACACACAACACUUUCUCGCACUCUCUCCUCUCUCUCUCUUCCCCUCUCUCUCUGUCUCUCUCUUCCUAUAUAUAUAUAUAUAUAUAAGCGCAGGAGUGGCUGUGUGGUAAAAUGCUUGCUUACCAACCACAUGGUUCCGGGUUCAGUCCCACUGCGUGGCACUUUGGGCAAGUGUCAUUGACUAUAGCCUCGGGCCGACCAAAGCCUUGUGAGUGGAUUUGGUAGAUGGAAACUGAAAAGAAGCCUGUCGUGUAUAUGUAUAUAUAUAUAUAUGUGUGUGUUUGUGUGUCUGUGUUUGUCGCCCCAACAUCGCUUGACAACCGAUGCUGGUGUGUUCUUGUCCACGUAACUUAGCGGUUCGGCAAAAGAGACUGAUAGAAUAAGUACUAGGCUUACAAAGAAUAAGUCCUGGGGUCGAUUUGCUCGACUAAAGGCGGUGCUCCACCAUGGCCGCAGUCAAAUGACUGAAACAAGUAAAAGAGAGAGAGAGAGAGCGCACACAACACACAUCUGACAAACACACACACAAAAGCCCCACAGGUCACACAUUCACAUCGCAUUCAUACAGCAAAUACACACAUCACACGCACACACAUACACACAUGUGCAUACACACACACACACAUUUCAUAAACACGCAUCACACAAAAACAAAGACACGGCACAUAUUACAUGCAUAGCACACACAAUGCACAUCUCACAAACACACACACACGUUACACAUUCAAUCGCAUUCAUACCACACUCACACACAUCAAUAUACACAUGUACAGACACACAUAAACAUCAUGCACAAAUUAUGCACACAAAUGCACGCGCGCGCGCGAGCAGACACAUCAUACAUGUUCAUCCCAUGGAUGCAUCACACUCUCACAUCUCACACAUACACAUAUACACACACAUACACACACACGCACACUCACACACAUUGGCCACACGUGUCACCCGCUGAUCAUAUGCACACACACACAUACACUCACAUACACGCACUCACAUACACACACACAUACAUGCACUCACAUCCACACAUGCAUACUCACACACACACUCACACACAUAUACACGCACACGCGCACGCACACACACACAUACACAUAUACACACAUCACACACGCAGACACACACCAAAUCACAUACAUAACACAGGCGUGUACACCACAUUUAUCACAAACAUAUAUCAGACAUUUCACGCGCACACACACACACACACACACGUUCACCACUCAUAUACAUAUGCACACGUUCAAACACACGUACAUUCAUACGUACACAUAUACACAUACAUAUAAACGCAGUCAUUCCCACGCACACACAUACAUACGGCUAGCACUCCCCCCCGCCACAUAUACACCCCCACAUGCACAUACACAUGCAUUCAAAUACACACAUCUACGCACAAAAAUUAAAACACACAUUCGCACAUGCGCACACACGCACGUGAACGCAUGAUCACCACACGCACAUACGCAUAUACACAUUCAAACACACACAGACUUCUACAUUCUCGUGUGCACGCACACAUACGCACACACACACGUGCGCGCACACACAUAGACACACGCAUACACACGCACAUUUAAACUGGUACGCUAUUUGAUCCGAUCAAUCGAACAGUCUGCUAAUGAAAUUAGCGUGCAAAUGGCUGAAUAUACCACAGACAGGCGUAUGCAUAACGCAGUUCUCUGGAAUAUUCAUAUUCAGUGUGACACAGAAUGUAACGGGGCUGACCCUUCGAAUCACAGGUUCAAUUCAUUUUUGUCAACUGAAUGGACUGAUGCAAGGAGGAAUAAAAGACUUGCUCAAGGAUAUAACGCGCCAUUGGUGAUCGAUCUUACGACCUUACACCCGGUUUAUUUAGAUAUGUGUGUGUAUUAGAUAUUCUACGUUUCACUUCGUUGCUUUUCGUUUCAUUACGCCAGCUCUAACAUGGAUUCCUUUCAUCAACUGGCUUUAAACAAAUCCCAAAUCAACUCUCGUCAACAUUAUCGAUGUAUACAUUAUUUACAUUAUUUACAUUUGAUGGAUAUUUGUCCUCAUCUUGUUUGUUGUUAGCACCACAUUUCGGUUGAUAUACCCUCCAGACUUCAUCAGGUGUCUUGGUGGAAAUUUCGAACCUGGGUUCUCAUUCCUAAGGAAUUUUUCGAUGUUGUCGUUGUUGUUCUUGUUGUUGUUGUUAUUAUUAUUAUUCAGGUUACUGUCUGGAAUCUAACUCGGAAUCUUGGGGUUAGUAGCCCGCGCUCUUAACGACUACACCCACGGGCAUAUGGCGUAGUGAAUAAUGAUAAUAAUAAUGAUAAUAAUAAUAAUAAUAAUAAUAAUAAUAAUAAUAAUAAUAACAUCGAAAAAGGCCUUAGGAAUGAGAACCCAGGAUCGAAAUUUCCCCAAUACACCUGAUGAUGACUGGAGAGUUCAUCAACCGAAACGUUGUGCUAACAAGAAACAAGAUGAGGACAAAUAUCCUUCAAAUGUAAAUAAUGUAAAUAAUGUACAUAAUGUAAAUAAUGUGCAUAAUUCCUCAUCUCUUAAAUAUAGAACUGUAUUAUCGAUAUUGUUUGAAAAGUUUCGAUCUUAUUGGAGUUAUGUCCCUUUUUUAUCUUUUAUCUUUUGCUAAUUUCACCCAUUAGACUGCGGCCAUGCAGGGACACCGCCUUGAAGAAUUUUUAGUCAAACCAUUCGACCACAGAACUUACUUAGUUUAAAGCUCGGUACUUAUCCAUCGAAGUGGAUGAAACAAAUUCUCAUACUUGGGUGGAGGGGCUGAGAUUAUAACUGGAGGGGUGAUUAACACCCCAUAGCUCCUCACCCCUCGUAGCUAUGUGCCUGUGUGCUACGCAGUGGGACUGAAACCUGAACCUUGUGGCUGGGAAGCAAGCUCUCACUACACAACCUCACCUGCGCCUACACAAUCGAUAUUCUUUGAAAAGUUUCGAUCUUAUUGAAGUUAUGUCCCUUGACCAUUUUUACCUUUUAAACACCUUGGGGAAGUUGAAAUCACCCAUAAGAAAUAUGGUCACGUUGUGUUCCAGAUUCAUGAGGAUUUUUUUAAUUCUUGUGAGGCAAUCUUCAAACUUGCCUAUGUGGUUUGGAGCGUCCGGUGGGCAAUAUGUAUUUGCAUAUGACUAUAUUAUGUUGUUUUAUGUAUACAAUUAAAGUGUCACAUAUCGAAUUUGAGUAUGUCAGUAAGACCUGGAGUGUGAGGUCAUCCCGGAUGUAUACAGCAACUCCACCAUGGCUCCUUUCCCUUCUGUCUGUUCGCAGUAUGGCAUAGUUUGGUACGUGUACACCUUUCAAACUUCUUUUACUUGUUUCAGUGAUUUGAAUACGGCCAUGCUGGAGCACCACCUUUAGUCGAGCAAAUCGACACCAGGAUUUAAUUUUUGUAAGCCUAGUACUUAUUCUAUCGUUUUUUUUUUGCAGAACCGCUAAGUUACGGGGACGUAAAAACACCAGCAUCGGUUGCCAAGCGAUGUUGGGGGCACAAACACAGACCCACUAACACACACACACACACACAAAUAUAUAUAUAUAUAUAUAUAUAUAUAUAUAUAUAUAUAUAUAUAUGUAUCUGUUGUUGAAUUUAUAUAUAUAGUCUUUGACUAUUUUCUCUUUCCCACUAGACCGCUGGUAGCGAUAAAUUUCUAUUGAAUUUUUUGCUACCCUAAAUUGAUUAAAAUAUAUAUAUAUAUAUAUAUAUAUAUAUAUAUAUAUAUAUACAUGUAUGUAUAUAUAUAUAUAUAUAUAUACGACGGGCCUGUUUCAGUUUCUGUCUACCAAAUCUACUUACAAGUCUUUGGUCGGUAUAAGAGUGUGUGUGUGUGUGUCUGUCUGUCUGUUUGAUUGCUGAUUCACCAUAAACAACCUUGCUCCGACUUGGUCAAAACUUGGUCAAGGCCUAGUCUUGGUCAUUUAUAUGCGUAUAUUUAAUAAACAGCAUCACUAUGUAAGUUAAUUCGGUGUUUAAAACCGCACAAUCAUUUUCCUGCUGAACUAACCGAACUGGACUAACCUAGACUUGUGUCGCUUAUUGUUGUCGGCGUUCAUCAGGAAUGUCUACGCUGCAUAUUCUACAGUCGUCCACAAACAGUAAUGAGAAAUGUUGUGGUUCACGAGGACGGAUUUUAUUCAUUUACUUAUCUGUACAUUUCUUAGUGACACGUAUUAAUUAACUUAAAUACCGAGACAUCUAGAUAUAUCGCGAGAUUAAAUAUACAUUUAUUAAAAGAAUGCAUGUAAACUCAUUAAUAAUUUAACAGCACAGAUGCUGUGAAGGCGCUUUAGUUAACAAACGUGUGUAUACUUUUUUGUACAUGUGUGUAUAUGUGCAUGUUGGUACAUUUGAGUAUGUGUAUGUGUUCGUACACAUGUGUAUAUAUAUUUGUGUGUGCUUGUACAAGUGAGCAUAUCUGCGCGUGUAUGCGCGCACGUGUGUUUGUAUAUACUUGUCAGGUGAUGUUUCAUCUACCCACUGCCAGAUGUGUAGGCCACCAGGUACACCACCGCGUUUGCUGAGUUAGAGGAGACAGAAAGUGUAGGAGCAGCCAGCGAGGAUAAAAUUUCUUUCUACUAUAGGCACAAGGCCUGAAAUGUGGCUGGGAGGGAGAUUACAUCUAUGUUUGUUCCUUCUCGAACCAUGCCUGGCUCAUAAGGGCCGGUUUCCCGGUUUCCUUGGCGUAUAGGUUCCCCACCUGGACGGGACGCCGGUCCGUCGCAGGUGAGCUGCAAGAUGCAGGAGGAAAGAGUGAGAGAAAGUUGUGGCGAAAGAGUCAGCAGAAGUUCGCCAUUACUUUCUGCCGGAGCCGCGUGGAGCUUAGGUGUUUCGCUCAUAAACACACACACCACCCAGGCUGAGAUUCGAAUCCGCGAUCCCUCGACCGCGAGUCCACUGCUCUAACCACUAGGCCAUGUGCCUCCACAAAUUACAUCUAUUCCAAUGUUCAACUGAUAUUUAUUUAUCCGUCCUUGACAGGAUUUGAGCUAAGAGUGUAACAAGUCCACCAACUCAUCACAUCAUCUUCCAGUUGCUCUUCUUCCUACUUACACAUUGAAAUAUUCCUUGCUUAUCUUUAUAUUUUCUUGCAGAUGAUUUAUACCAGUUUCUUUCGGGUUACUGAGCCAUUCUGCAUUAAUGUAGAGUGUUUCCUCUUUUCUUUAUAUCUUGAGGUGAAAGAGUUAACAGGGCAAUAACACCAUCAUUAAUAAUAGUUGAAGGUAAGUUAACCAUGUAGAAUUUUUAAAUGGACAUUUUAAGAAGAUUUUAUCACACAUGUGGGAGUAACGGAUUAAUAAUUCAUUACGCUAAGUAAUUAAAUUUGAGGGUCUCCAAUGUCUCUACUGAGAAUAAACUACAGCUACCCUCAUCUCAUCUGUAUGGGUGUAGAUCAACCUAUAAAUAACCAUGCAAUUGAAUUGACGAUAUUUUACCUUCAGAUCCCAAAUGAAACUAGUGUAUGAGGUGCUAUGUGAUUAUCUUUUAUAGUUAAAGGAGUGAAUAUAGUUAUUUAAUCCAAGAUUGAAUUUGAAAGCUGUUGUAUCUAUGUAAUAAUGGAUUUUAUUACGUGUUUUAUCAGAACAUUUAUGUAUUAAACUAUUCUUCUGACAUCGGUUAUUCAAAGAGCAUUUAUCAUAGCUCCUGCUGUUGCACAUUUUAUUAAGUUUAUAAUCAUAAGAGACAUUAUUUACUUUAUUAGGGUUAAUGUUAAUCUUAUGAAGAGAUACUGUAUUAUUUUUAUCAGCGUUUAUAUCAGAUUGAGAUGUAUUAAUUGCAGCACGCCUAGGUAUUUGAUAACUGAAUAUUUAAAGAUACAGCAGUUAUUACUAUUUAAUUUCUUACUGUUUGUUACAGGCAGCUAUUUUAUUCGCUAGAUUUGGCCUAGAGGAAUACACAAAUGUGACGGUAUCUAUUGAAUAUCUUACUUUAUCUACCAGAAGGUGGCGGGAAAUGCUUAUUCAAUGACCUAAAGAAAAUCCAUGGAAUAUUCGAGGAUAGCUGGAUUCUACAAAGGGAGUUAAACCAUGUGGCAGUCCUUUCAUGAAAUGCUUAUUCAAUUCAGUGGAUAGCCGAGGUUAUCUGAAUCCUAUAAAGGAUGUUAAACCAUGUGAUAAUCAUUUUAUGUAAUAUAGGUGACGAGGGAUAGGAUUAACGAAUAACCAUCCUUUUCAAAUUCCGCCGAUGUCGACUUUGCCUUUAAUCCUUUCGGGGUUGAUAAAUUAAGUACCAGUUGCGUACUGAGGUCGAGCUACUUGACCGACCACCUCCCUAAAAAUUUCGGGUAUUGUGCCUAGAGUAGAGAAGAAUCAUUUUACGUAAUCCGUUUCUAUUAGUUUUGUUUUUUUCCUGAUUUUAUUUGUUUCUGGAAGAAGGUAACCGAUAGACACCUCAACGGACCCAGGUCAGACUUUCAGGCUUUUUAGCUCUUCAGCCUUUUAGCUGUCCAUCUAAGAGAAGAUGACUCAAUACAAAUCCAGCAUCCUGAUAACUACUGGGCACGUGGCACUUGUUGCACCACACCAAUACAAGUUUGAAGGACGAGAGAAAUUGUCUGGCUCUGCACAAAACAUGCGCGCUAUAAAAAUAUUCACCAUGCAGAUCGUUCAUGAAACCAAAAUACCGGCAGCAACAUCAUCGCACUUUCUUCAAGUCCAGUGGCGGGAGGAAAAGAAGCGAUGGGGACAGACAGCAGAUGCUACUAGAAAUCUUCAACUGUAACACUACACACAAGCAGCCCGAAAGUGACGGUCGUUUUCCUAAGACCUCAGCUGUGUCAAAAUGACAUAGAAGUCCGUCAAAUUAGUAUAGUAUCGUUGAUUCUGCGUUGAAUAGUUCUCUUACGGUCAUGGAAGUUGCAACGAUAAUUCCCAGGUUUGAAUCUGUUAUUAUUAUGUUCUGUCCUUUUACUUAGGGUGAAAAAUAUGGAGCUAAUGACCUGUACAUGAUGAUCGAGACUGUUUUGAUUGGUUGCCCGAUGUUUACUUUCAAUAAAUAUAGAAUGACGUCAGCAGGCAAAAUCGGGUUGCAGAGGAAAAGGGAAUUCCAGAGCUUUGACGUCAGGAGACGAAGGAAUUGGAAUAAGCUUUAAUACAGAGUAUUUGGGAUGGGAAGACUCAAUAUAGGCGACGAGGGAUAGGAUUAGCGAAUAACCUUGCUUCAAGUGAGCAUUAGUUCCACUUCCUUUCGGUUGAAAGUGAUGUGCACCUAGUUUGUACUUUGUGGCCGUCAAAAAAUUAGAGAAACAAGAAAAAGAUUUUGUGAGAUGGAGUUUACAGCGUGAUGGGUAUUUGAUAAUCACGUGAUCAUAUUAAAAUUUGUCCCGUCAAGGAUAUCUCUAGGUGUAACAGCAGCAGUAGCAUCCAGUUCGUAGCCUCACCUGAGCUUUCUCGACAUAUACCAAUUGUUCAGAUGGUACACGUCUAGUAUGUAUAUAAUAUUUUCCGUGUCACACAUUUCCCUCAAUGCAUUCAAACAUACAUACAUAGACACAUACAUACAUACUUGCAUACGUAUAUGUAUGCAUAUACAUAUAUGUGUGUGUAUGUGUGUGCGCGUAUGUGUGCGAGUGUAUUCAACAUGAAUGUGUGUGUGUGUGUGUGUGUGUGUAUUCAACAUGAAUAAGAAAUAUUUUCUAAACUUCAUGCUCUAAAUAUACUGAUUGUGUCUUCAAACACACUUCGUUGCAUUUUAGGACAGACAUAAAAGAAACCAACGGAUGUUCGCAACACACACACAUAUAUAUAUAUAUAUAUAUACAUAUAUAUACACACACACACACAUAUAUAUAUAUAUAUACACACACACACAUAUAUAUACAUACACACACGCACGCAAACACACAUACACACACAUACACACACACACAUACACACAUAUAUAUAUAUAUAUAUACAUAUAUACACAUAUAUAUACAUACACACACGCACGCAAACACACACACAUAUAUUAUCCGAAAAGUAUUGUAUUAAAUAUUCCUCAUGGCUAAUCUUACCAAUCGGGUUCGCGCAAAGAAUACAAUGGAGCGCUAGGUAACAAUCUUAGACGACUCACGCACGUAUACAUACAUACAUAUAUACAUACAUACAUACAUAUAUAAAUAUCUAUGAAUACGUGUAUGUAUGGGCGUGUUUGCAUGUCUAUGCAUAUAUUAUCAUUUAUAUAUCCGUGUCUAUUUAUACAUGUAUGUAUACAUGAGGGUGGGGUGUUUAUGGGAAAAGUAGCAAUUUUUCCCAUUGUUGAUAAUUUGCUAGUCACGGAAAGAAAAAAAAAUUACAGAAACGUAAUUUUCUUGGUUCAAUCAGUUGUAUACGCAAUCACAUUCACCCAUACAUACCUGUAUGUAUAUAUAUAUAUAUAUAUAUAUAUAUAUAUAUAUAUAUGUGUGUGUGUGUGUGUGUGUGUGUGUGUGUGUGUGUGUGGAACAGUUUUAAAGAUUUAACAACGGUGGUGCUCUAGAAUGACCACAGCUUUGAAGCUGAAACGUUUUUAAAGAUUUUUUAAAGAUUUUUAAACACACACAUGCAAGUCACCGUCUAUUGAAAAGGUUGAAAAGCGCAACAAAAAUUUUAGAAAAAAUAAAUAAAUGAUCGGAAAUCGAACCAGUGAACGUAUUAAAUAAUAAGGUUAAAAGAAUGCGUAUAUGAAUAUAAAAAUAAGUGUGUCUGUCUGUAUGUCUUAGUCGUUGGCUUUCAACUCCUAUCACAUCCUGAAGGAACAACCGUCUAUUACUGUGAGUCUUGGGCUCUAACCGAACGAAACGACUUUCUGUCCAAAUCUAACCAGGACCGGUCCUUUCUUAUUUGUUUUUCAGAAAUACAUGAGAGAUAGGCGGGAAUCGAUGUCCAUUGCCAGAGUGGACUGAUAAUUUUAGUUAUUGACCAACUUGAUAUAGGUGGGACGAAAAUCUGAACUACGUUUUCCCCCCUUGUCUUAAAUGUCACUUGUAUAAUUCAGGAAUGCCAGCUCAGAAAGUUUAGCCAUGUUACUCGAUUUUCCGAGUUAGGACCUUCUUACCGUGCUUCUCAUCACCGAGGAUCCAAUUGGGUUAUAACGGCUCGUUUUGGUUGACCACAUGAUCAUGGUAGAUGAAGAGGUAUAUAGCGGUGAUGGGGGACCCGCGAGGACCCGGUAUUACGCCGAUAAAUGGUGAAUGCAACAACGCAUGUCUCCACAAAAAGAAGCAGAAGAGGCAGAAGAAGAAGAAGAAGAAGAACAAGAACAAGAAGAAGAAGAAGAAGAAGAAGAAGAACAACAACAACAACAACAACAACAACAAGAUAGGCUAUAAAGCACAUUCCUAUCGAACCACAUACCAUCCAUAUGUUUCUAUACUUACCUCUAGCAUCUUAGAGGCCUUACAUUAUUCUUUUUUCUAAUACCUAUGAUAUUCAGCAACAUCUAAAAUACCUUUCCAAUAUAUACAGGGUGGGUGGAAAGUAACUAGGUAUUAGAAAUUGCUUAUGGAAUCAUGAGGAAAACACUAUUUAACCAGACAACACUAAGGGGAUUUCUUAAUCUCUUACUGUCUUAUUUCUUAAUUCUUAUUUUCCAGAUGGCCGGCCGCUUGGCUGUUCAGGAGCGAGCUAAGAUAGCAGCUCGCUACGAAGUGUGGAAUUCCACUGUUUUGGUUCAAAGCUGGUGGCAUGCAGGGAAAGGUAUGUAUGCAACACUACUUCCGAAGACAAUAAAAUGUUGUCAUGCAAAGCUGAUGAUCAUCUGUGAGCGAUGCAAAAAGUGGCCGUCCAACCACAUUCCGAUCAGUGGAGCACGAGAUAACAGUGCAGGAAAUGUUUAAUCGCAGCCCGCGAAAAUCAACACAUCAAGCAGCUCGUGAAAGUGGUUAACAAGACACAACAUACGCACGGUAUUGCAUAAAAAAUUGAAUUUGUGUCUGUGGAAACUCCAUUACGUGCAGCCAGGACUCCAGAUCUGCAAGAAGUCCAGAUCUCACUCGAUGUGAUUUUUGCCUGUGGGAUUACACAAAAUGGAAUAGUUAGAGACCCGGAUUCAGGAGGUUCUCAAUGAUAUCGCAGACAACGUCCUUCAGAAGGUUGUUCAUUCUAUCCCUGGCCGUUUGUGGAAACUGGUUGACGCCACCGCUGGUUACGUUGAAAUAUGAAGAUUUACUUUCAUUUUCCCAUGUAAUAAAGAACAUAUAUCAUUUGUUUCAAUAAAUUCGUAUAAGGAAUAUGGAUUAUAUUACCAAUUUUUAAUGCCUAAUUACAUUUCACUUAUUUGCC
rnacentral:lncRNA from 1 species